CUUAAGCAUUAAUAUUUAUGAAAGUUUCCGGCCAAACAGCCCGUGUACAAAAUUAUUUUUAUAACACUUUUUAACAAGACUUUAGGCGAGGACUUUGUCUUCACAGGUAGUCUUUUUUAUAACAGUUAUGCGAGACUUUAACUUUCUGUAUUAGUAGUUUAGCCAAGACAAGAACGAGACUCCAACUCGGGGACUUUAUCUUCACUUCUUUUAAUACGUUCAAACCUGGCCUGCUGCUAUCAGCUGUUCGCGUGAGACCACCAUUUUAAAUCCGCCUCGCUAAUUGCUAAACAAAGCGAUUCGGGGUUGGCCAUGAUGUAACAUUGUUUUUUUGUAAAGAUUUUACAUACACAUACGAAAUAAAAUUAAAUUUAAAUUAUUUUAAUUUUUUUUUUGUUUUAUUUCAUUAGGAGGUGGAACGUUCAAGUGAUAGCGAGAAUAGUAUGAAAACAUUCUCGGAUUGGCACAAAGAGAAUAAAGAAACAAUACAUUUUUGGCAAUAAAAGUAGCACCAAACAGUACUUACAGUUUUAUCAAAGUAAAUAGAACUAAAUGCUGAACAGAUCGAUUCAAGGUUUCCAUGAUGAAGUGGAAUGUUCAAGUGAUAGCGAGAAUAGUAUUAAAACAUUCUCGGAUUGGUACUAAAGAAAAUAAAGAGACAAUACAUUUUUGGCAAUAAAUAUAGCACCAAACAGUA
rnacentral:sRNA from 1 species